rnacentral:rRNA from 1 species
GAACUGUGCGAACGUUAUUCGGAAUCACUGGGCUUACAGGGUGCGUAGGCGGCGAUGCAAGUCAGGUGUGAAAGCCCACGGCUCAACCGUGGAACAGCGCUUGAAACUGCAUUGCUGGAGUGAGCUAGAGGUAUGCGGAACUUCCGGUGGAGCGGUGAAAUGUGUUGAUAUCGGAAGGAACACCAGAGGCGAAAGCGGCAUACUGGAGCUUGUCUGACGCUGAGGCACGAAAGCCAGGGGAGCAAACGGGAUUAGAUACCCCGGUAGUCCUGGCUGUAAACGAUCAGAACUGGACGGAUGAGGGUUCGCCCCCAUCGGUCGUAGCGAAAGCGUUAAGUUCUGCGCCUGGGGAGUAUGGUCGCAAGGCUGAA